rnacentral:rRNA from 1 species
AUUGAACGCUAGCGGGAUGCCUUACACAUGCAAGUCGAACGGAGUGGCGAACGGGUGAGUAAUGUAUCGGAACGUGCCCAGUAGCGGGGGAUAACUACGCGAAAGCGUAGCUAAUACCGCAUACUAUUGGAGCGGCCGAUAUCGGAUUGGCUGGUGGGGGGGGUAACGGCUCACCAAGGCGACGAUCCGUAGCUGGGUUGCGAGGACGACCACCCACACUGGGACUGUGAAACGGCCCAGACUCCUGCGGGAGUGAGCAGUGGGUAAUGUUGGACAAUGGGGGAGACCCUGGUCAAGCAAGCCCGCGUGUGCGAUGAAGGCCUUCGGGUUGUAAAGCACUUUUGGCAGGAAAGCGGUACCUGCAGAAUAAGCACCGGCUAACUACGUGCCAGCAGCCGCGGUAAUAC